rnacentral:rRNA from 1 species
AUCACGGGAGUGGCAGACGUGUGAGUAACGCGUGGGAACAUACCCUCCGGUUCGGAAUAACCCAGGGAAACUUGGGCUAAUACCGGAUACGCCCCCGGAUUUAAUCCGGGGGGAAAGGUUUAUAUGCCGGAGGAUUGGCCCGCGUCCGAUUAGCUAGUUGGUGAGGUAACGGCUCACCAAGGCGACGAUCGGUAGCUGGUCUGAGAGGAUGAUCAGCCACAUUGGGACUGAGACACGGCCCAGACUCCUACGGGAGGCAGCAGUGGGGAGUAUUGGACAAUGGGCGCAAGCCUGAUCCAGCCAUGCCGCGUGAGUGAUGACGGCCUUAGGG